UCGGUACGCGCGGAUCUUCCAGAGAUUAGAGUUUGAUCCUGGCUCAGAUUGAACGCUGGCGGCAGGCCUAACACAUGCAAGUCGAACGGUAACAGGAAGAAGCUUGCUUCUUUGCUGACGAGUGGCGGACGGGUGAGUAAUGUCUGGGAAACUGCCUGAUGGAGGGGGAUAACUACUGGAAACGGUAGCUAAUACCGCAUAACGUCGCAAGACCAAAGAGGGGGACCUUCGGGCCUCUUGCCAUCGGAUGUGCCCAGAUGGGAUUAGCCAGUAGGUGGGGUAACGGCUCACCUAGGCGACGAUCCCUAGCUGGUCUGAGAGGAUGACCAGCCACACUGGAACUGAGACACGGUCCAGACUCCUACGGGAGGCAGCAGUGGGGAAUAUUGCACAAUGGGCGCAAGCCUGAUGCAGCCAUGCCGCGUGUAUGAAGAAGGCCUUCGGGUUGUAAAGUACUUUCAGCGGGGAGGAAGGGAGUAAGUUAAUACCUUUGCUCAUUGACGUUACCCGCAGAAGAAGCACCGGCUAACUCCGUGCCAGCAGCCGCGGUAAUACGGAGGGUGCAAGCGUUAAUCGGAAUUACUGGGCGUAAAGCGCACG
rnacentral:rRNA from 1 species